GCCUGGCACAGUUGAGGCCUCGUGUGGGCCCAGAAGGAAGGGGGCCCAGGCACAGGUAGAGCCUCGGGGCCCAGGAUGGAGGAGAACCAGGCUCAGUUGGGGCUGUGUUGGGGCCCAGGAUGGAGGAGGACCAGGCACAGUUGGGGCUGCUUUGGGGCCUGAGCUGGAGGGGGACCUGGCACAGUUGGGGCUUCUUUGGGGCCCAGGAUGGAGGACGGCCUGGCACAGCUGAGGCCUCCUCUUGGCCCAGACCAAAGGGAGCCCCGGCCCAGCCCGGGCCUUGGGGCCUAGGAUGGAGGAGGAGCAGACACAGUUGGGGCUGCUUUGGGGCCCAGAAUGGAGGAGGAGCAGACGCAGUUGGGGCUGCUUUGGGGCCCAGGAUGGAGGAGGACCAGGCACAGUUGGGGCUGCUUUGGGGCCUGAGCUGGAGGGGGGCAUGGCACAGUUGGGGCUGCUUUGGGGCCUGGGCUAGAGAAGGAGCAGGCACAGUUGAGGCCUGCUCUUGGCCCAGACCAAAAAGGGCCCAGGCACAGCCAGGGCCUUGGGGCCCAGGAUGAAGCAGGACCAGGAACAGUUGGGGCUGCUUUGGGGCCCAGGAUGGAGAUGGACCAGGAACAGUUGGGGCUGCUUUGGUGCCCAGGAUGGAGAUGGGCCUGGCACAGUUGGGGCUGCUUUGGGGCCUGGACUGGAGGGGUGCCUGGCACAGUUGGGGCCUCCUCUUGGCCCAGACCACAGGGGGCCCCGGCCCAGCCCUAGCCUUGGGGCUUAGGAUAGAGGAGGACCAGCAACAGUUGGGGCUGCUUUGGGGCCCAGGAUGGAGAUGGACCUGGCACAGUUGGGGCUGCUUAGGGGGCUGAGCUGGAAGGGGGCCUGGCACAGUUGGGGCUUCUUUGGGGCCCGGGAUGGAGGACGGCCUGGCACAGUUGAGGCCUCGUCUGGGCCCAGACCAAAGGGGGCUCAAGCCCAGCCAGGGCCUUGGGGCACAGGAUGGAGAAGGACCAGGAACAGUUGAGGCUGCUUUGGGGCCCAGGCCGGUCGACGGCCUGGCACGAUUUGGGCUGCUUUGGGGCCCGGUAUCGAAGAGGACCAGGCUCAGAUGGGGCUGCUUUGGGGCCCAGGCUGGAGGAGGACCUAGCGCAGUUGGGGCCUACUCAGGGCUCAGUCCAAAGGGGGCCCAGGCACAGCCAAGGACUUGGGGCACAGGAUGGAGGAGGACCAGGCACAGCUGGGGCUGCUUUGGGGCCUGGGCUGGUGGGAGGCCCGGCACAGCCAGAGCCUUGUGGCUGCACUCCCUCUGUACACUUCAACCUUGAUCCAUAAUCUGAAAUGGUAACUGGAGUAAAAGGCAGUAGCUGAUCCAGCUGCUUUCCUGUGUUUUAAUUUUUCUAAGUAUGGGGAAGGACUCAAGCUAGUAAAAAAAGACCCCUUUCUGAAGAACAGGACUCAGAAAGUGUUAGCACAGAGCAGAUCUCCCAGUAGAGAUUCUUCCCCUUAGACAGGCAGCCCUUAAACGAGGGUGGGGAGGGCUGGAGCCAGGCUCCACCCGUUUUUUGCCCAGGUGAAAUGCUUGCAGGUGUGCUCCACAGCAGAACGUGUUUUAAUGAAGCCUGUGGAAUCCAAGAAUCCUUUCUUCCUUCUUUCUUGUUUGUGUUUGUUGCCUGCAGUUCCAAGCAGGUGGACUCUCAGUGUCUUGCAAGUGACAGCUAGCAGCAGCAGGUCCAGCCAGGAGGCACAGCACCCUGCAACCUCCAGGUGAGUGACAGCAGGCAGGCAGGCUUUUGGGCUCUGCAGGGUCAUUGUGUGGAGCAUUAUGCACAGGGACAGCUGAGUGUAAAGAUGAUGUCCGAGCUGCAGAGCUAAGCAUAACGGAGAGGCCCAGCGGCUCAGCUCAUUUCCCAGCGUGAGGCAGGAAAUUAAGAGCCACGAGGGAUAUGCAGACGCUUUCUGCUUUUGUCUGUUGCCUCACUCCUUCUGCCCCUGUCAGAGGGGAGGAACGAGCUGCACUUGCACAGAGACAUUGCUCUCACGGCCACUCCCCCCUCAGGUUGGAGCAUUCCUGGCUGCAGGAUGGGCAAACCGAAGUUCUUGCCUGA
ensembl:lncRNA